rnacentral:rRNA from 1 species
GACGAACGCUGGCGGCGUGCCUAAUACAUGCAAGUAGAACGCUGAAGGAGGAGCUUGCUUCUCUGGAUGAGUUGCGAACGGGUGAGUAACGCGUAGGUAACCUGCCUGGUGGCGGGGGAUAACUAUUGGAAACGAUAGCUAAUACCGCAUAAGAGUAGAUGUCGCAUGACAUUUGCUUGAAAGGUGCAAUUGCAUCACUACUAGAUGGACCUGCGUUGUAUUAGCUAGUUGGUGAGGUAACGGCCCACCAAGGCGACGAUACAUAGCCGACCUGAGAGGGUGAUCGGCCACACUGGGACUGAGACACGGCCCAGACUCCUACGGGAGGCAGCAGUAGGGAAUCUUCGGCAAUGGGGGCAACCCUGACCGAGCAACGCCGCGUGAGUGAAGAAGGUUUUCGGAUCGUAAAGCUCUGUUGUAAGAGAAGAACGAGUGUGAGAGUGGAAAGUUCACGCUGUGACGGUAUCUUACCAGAAAGGGACGGCUAACUACGUGCCAGCAGCCGCGGUAAUACGUAGGUCCCGAGCGUUGUCCGGAUUUAUUGGGCGUAAAGCGAGCGCAGGCGGUUAGAUAAGUCUGAAGUUAAAGGCUGUGGCUUAACCAUAGUACGCUUUGGAAACUGUUUAACUUGAGUGCAAGAGGGGAGAGUGGAAUUCCAUGUGUAGCGGUGAAAUGCGUAGAUAUAUGGAGGAACACCGGUGGCGAAAGCGGCUCUCUGGCUUGUAACUGACGCUGAGGCUCGAAAGCGUGGGGAGCAAACAGG